CGAAGGGGCUAGCGUUACUCGGAAUUACUGGGGCGUAAAGGGCGCGUAGGCGGCGUUCCAAGUUAGGCGUGAAAGUCCUGGGCUCAACCUGGGAACUGCGCUUAAGACUGGAAUGCUAGAGGAUGGAAGAGGGUUGUGGAAUUCCCAGUGUAGAGGUGAAAUUCGUAGAUAUUGGGAAGAACACCGGUGGCGAAGGCGGCAACCUGGUCCAUUUCUGACGCUGAGGCGCGAUAGCGUGGGGAGCAAACAGGAUU
rnacentral:rRNA from 1 species